CCUACGGGAGGCAGCAGUGAGGAAUAUUGGUCAAUGGGCGGAAGCCUGAACCAGCCAAGUAGCGUGCAGGAUGACGGCCCUACGGGUUGUAAACUGCUUUUAUACGGGAAUAACGCGCCUUACGUGUAGGGCUUUGCAUGUACCGUAUGAAUAAGGACCGGCCAAUUCCGGGCCCGCAGCCGCGGUAAUACGGAGGAAUCAAGCGUUAUCCGGAUGUAUUGGGGUUAAAGGGUGCGUAGGCGGUCGGAUAAGUUAGAGGUGAAAUCACGAGGCUCAACUUCGGAAUUGACUCUGAUACUGUUCGGCUAGAGAGUAGUUGCGGUAGGCGGAAUGUAUGGUGUAGCGGUGAAAUGCUUAGAGAUCAUACAGAACACCGAUUGCGAAGGCAGCUUACCAAGCUACUUCUGACGUUGAGGCACGAAAGCGUGGGGAGCAAACAGGAUUAGAUACCCCAGUAGUC
rnacentral:rRNA from 1 species